rnacentral:rRNA from 1 species
UGCGUAGGCGGGAUAUUAAGUCAGUGGUGAAAUCCUGCGGCUCAACCGUAGAAUUGCCAUUGAUACUGAUAUUCUUGAAUUCAGUUGAGGUAGGCGGAAUGUGUAAUGUAGCGGUGAAAUGCUUAGAUAUUACACAGAACACCGAUUGCGAAGGCAGCUUGCUAAACUGACAUUGACGCUGAUGCACGAAAGCGUGGGGAGCGAACAGGAUUAGAUACCCUGGUAGUCC